GGCAGAAAUCCUGCAUCCCAGCUCUCCAGUCCCAGCAUACCUCUGAGACACUGGAGCUGUCGCACCAAGAAAGCAGACAUUUGGGCCACUCUGCAGAAGUCUUAGUUUCCCUCUCCUCAGUUUGCUAUCCCUGCAUUUUCUACCAUGUCAGAAAUGAGCAGGCCUGGACAUUUUUUCAAGAGCCCUUCUAUGCCACAAAUUCACAGUCCAACCAGGCCAUAGAAGUGCCCCUAUAUGUGGUAUAUAUAAUGUCCUGGGCUUCUGUGACCAGAAGAAGCAGACGCUGGUGAUGAAGAUGCUGGAGAUAAGAAGCUUCAAGGCUGGCAUCCAGCAAGCCCCAGCAACCUUCCUGUCUUCGCUUCCAUCAGCACUGGGAUUGCAGGUGCACACAGGACCAGGAGCAGCCUUCACCUGGGUGCUGGGAUCCCCAGCCUCAAGCUUGGAGAGCAAGCAUUCCUAGCCACGGAGCCAUCUCUCCAGUCCUCACCUUUUUGCAUCCGUUUGUCUGUUGAAGGUUAUCUAGGUUGAGUCUAUA